rnacentral:rRNA from 1 species
GAUGAACGCUGGCGGCGUGCCUAAUACAUGCAAGUAGAACGCUGAAGGAGGAGCUUGCUUCUCCGGAUGAGUUGCGAACGGGUGAGUAACGCGUAGGUAACCUGCCUGGUAGCGGGGGAUAACUAUUGGAAACGAUAGCUAAUACCGCAUAAGAGUAGAUGUUGCAUGACAUUUGCUUAAAAGGUGCAAUUGCAUCACUACCAGAUGGACCUGCGUUGUAUUAGCUAGUUGGUGGGGUAACGGCUCACCAAGGCGACGAUACAUAGCCGACCUGAGAGGGUGAUCGGCCACACUGGGACUGAGACACGGCCCAGACUCCUACGGGAGGCAGCUGUAGGGAAUCUUCGGCAAUGGACGGAAGUCUGACCGAGCAACGCCGCGUGAGUGAAGAAGGUUUUCGGAUCGUAAAGCUCUGUUGUAAGAGAAGAACGAGUGUGAGAGUGGAAAGUUCACACUGUGACGGUAUCUUACCAGAAAGGGACGGCUAACUACGUGCCAGCAGCCGCCGUAA